CUGCGGCCUAUCAGUUUGUUGGUGAGGUAAUGGCCCACCAAGACUAUUACAGGUACGGGCUCUGAGAGGAGUAGCCCGGAGAUGGGUACUGAGACACGGACCCAGGCCCUAUGGGGCGCAGCAGGCGAGAAAACUUUGCAAUGUGCGAAAGCACGACAAGGUUAAUCCGAGUGGUUUGUGCUAAACGAACCUUUUGACAGUCCUAGAAACACUGUUGAAUAAGGGGUGGGCAAGUUCUGGUGUCAGCCGCCGCGGUAAAACCAGCACCUCAAGUGGUCAGGAUGAUUAUUGGGCCUAAAGCAUCCGUAGCCGGCUCUGUAAGUUUUCGGUUAAAUCUGUACGCUCAACGUACAGGCUGCCGGGAAUACUGCAGAGCUAGGGAGUGGGAGAGGUAGACGGUACUCGGUAGGAAGGGGUAAAAUCCUUUGAUCUAUUGAUGACCACCUGUGGCGAAGGCGGUCUACCAGAACACGU
rnacentral:rRNA from 2 species